rnacentral:lncRNA from 1 species
UGUGCCAUUUUUAGUCGGAUGAACCAAACAACUAUCAAUAAGUGUAUAUAUCCAACUAAAUAAUCUCGUCAUUGUUAAUCCCAUAUUUAUUAAUCCUCGAUAAUUUGUUCCUCAAUCACACGACCCUUUAUGAAAUAAAAUAUAUAUUUUUUCAAAUUUGUUUUACCAUUUCAGCCGAAAAGUAAACUAACUUACAAACU